rnacentral:rRNA from 1 species
UACGGAGGGUGCAAGCGUUAUCCGGAUUUACUGGGCGUACAGGGAGCGUAGGCGGUUGGAUAAGCCCUCCGUGAAAUCUCCAGGCUUAACCUGGAAAGUGCAGAGGGGACUGUUCAGCUAGAGGAUGGGAGAGGAGCGCGGAAUUCCCGGUGUAGCGGUGAAAUGCGUAGAGAUCGGGAGGAAGGCCGGUGGCGAAGGCAGCCUCCUGGGCCAACACUGACGCUCAUGCACGAAAGCGUGGGGAGCGAACAGG